rnacentral:lncRNA from 1 species
AUUUUUCCUACUCUUCAGAGGAACUUACAUGACUGAAGCACCUGUUUACCAGAAAGGAUGCUAUUUUAGUAUAACAAGUUUAAGUAUUCAGAGAUGCUGAAUUCUGGACUCAGCAAAGGAUAGGACCACAGCAAUUAAUCCCUUCCAGUUCACACAGACUAUAUAAGCUUUAAGCUACUCUGACUUCAAGAUUGGUUUACUGGAGGACCCAAUACAAUCAAUAAUUUCCCCUAGCCUCAGGAGUCUCAUCUCUAAAGUGAGGAAGAUGCAUAUUUUGGGCCACAUUUGAAGAAAGAGAAGAAGAAUAUAUCUUUAAGGCAGACAGAAAGCUCCCCACUGGUUUCUUUCAGGAUCACACUGCCAGAGUAGUGUUUGAGAGGCCACAGAAAUGGUCUGGAAAGCUGACAGUUGGGAUUUUCAGUUACUUUUCCACUGGAAAGAACAUAGAACUUGGAAUCAUGGGGCCCAAAAUCCAAAUUCUGGCUCUUCUAUUUAUUAUUUAUAAAUACUACCUGACUUUGAGGAAGUCAUUUAACCUCUUUGGACUCAGUUUCUUUAUCUGUAAAACAAAGAGGUUGGAGUUGAGGACUUCUAAAAUUUCUUCUAGUUCUUAUUUAUGACCCUAUGAUCCCAGAAGGCCCAGACAUAGAAGUUCAACUGUGAAAAAUAGUAUUUCCCAGCUUUGAAACCUAUGACUAAUGGAUGGAUGGUUGGAGUAAUGAUCUACUUAAUCCAUAAUCAGGAUCAUAUUCAUAAGUACAAGCUGCUCCUCUAGGUAAAGGUAACAUCAUAAUUCUGGGGUGCGUGCUUGUUAAAAAAACAACAUCCAACAAACAACAACAACAAAACAAACUCUAUAUGGUAUUUAUUGAAAAAGAAAA